rnacentral:rRNA from 1 species
UGGGGAAUAUUGGACAAUGGGCGCAAGCCUGAUCCAGCCAUGCCGCGUGGGUGAUGAAGGCCCUAGGGUUGUAAAGCCCUUUCGGCGGGGAAGAUAAUGACGGGACCCGCAGAAGAAGCCCCGGCUAACUUCGUGCCAGCAGCCGCGGGAAUACGAAGGGGGCUAGCGUUGCUCGGAAUCACUGGGCGUAAAGCGCACGUAGGCGGCUUGUUAAGUCAGGGGUGAAAUCCUGGAGCUCAACUCCAGAACUGCCUUUGAUACUGGCGAGCUUGAGUUCGGGAGAGGUGAGUGGAACUGCGAGUGUAGAGGUGAAAUUCGUAGAUAUUCGCAAGAACACCAGUGGCGAAGGCGGCUCACUGGCCCGAUACUGACGCUGAGGUGCGAAAGCGUGGGGAGCAAACA